UACGUAGGUGGCAAGCGUUGUCCGGAAUUAUUGGGCGUAAAGCGCGCGCAGGCGGUCUCUUAAGUCUGAUGUGAAAUCUCGCGGCUCAACCGUGAGCGGUCAUUGGAAACUGGGAGACUUGAGUGCAGAAGAGAAGAGCGGAAUUCCACGUGUAGCGGUGAAAUGCGUAGAGAUGUGGAGGAACACCAGUGGCGAAGGCGGCUCUUUGGUCUGUAACUGACGCUAAGGCGCGAAAGCGUGGGGAGCGAACAGG
rnacentral:rRNA from 1 species